GGAUUCCCCUAGUAACUGCGAGUGAAGCGGGAAAAGCUCAAAUUUAAAAUCUGACGGUCUUUGGUCGUCCGAGUUGUAGUCUGGAGAAGUGCUUUCCGUGCUGGACCGUGUACAAGUCUCUUGGAAUAGAGCGUCAUAGAGGGUGAGAAUCCCGUCUUUGACACGGACUACCAGUGCUUUGUGAUGCGCUCUCAAAGAGUCGAGUUGUUUGGGAAUGCAGCUCAAAAUGGGUGGUAAAUUCCAUCUAAAGCUAAAUAUUGGCGAGAGACCGAUAGCGAACAAGUACCGUGAGGGAAAGAUGAAAAGCACUUUGGAAAGAGAGUUAAACAGUACGUGAAAUUGCUGAAAGGGAAACACUUGAAGUCAGUCGCGUCGCUUGGAACUCAGCCUUGCUUUUGCUUGGUGCACUUUCUGAGUGACGGGCCAGCAUCAAUUUUGACCGUUGGAAAAAGGCUGGGGGAAUGUGGCACCUUCGGGUGUGUUAUAGACUCUGGUCACAUACAACGGUUGGGAUUGAGGACCGCAGCGCGCCGCAAGGCAGGGGUUCGCCCACUUUCGCGCUUAGGAUGCUGGCAUAAUGGCUUUAAAUGACCCGUCUUGAAACACGGACCAAGGAGUCUAACAUACCUGCGAGUGUUUGGGUGGAAAACCCGAGCGCGUAAUGAAAGUGAAAG
rnacentral:rRNA from 1 species